ensembl:snoRNA
CCCUCCUACAAAGGUAUGUCUGUGGUUCCCUGUCUUUGGACACGUAAGAAUUGGAGGCAAAGAAAUGUGGACUUGGGAAAGUCUGAAGCCAGCUUGCCCCUUGGAGCCUCAUGACCAACCAAUCUCAUACAA